rnacentral:piRNA from 1 species
UCUUUCAUGGCUGCCACAAUUUCAGAGUC